UACGUAGGGGGCUAGCGUUAUCCGGAAUUACUGGGCGUAAAGGGUGCGUAGGUGGCCUUUUAAGUUGGAUGUGAAAUCCCCGGGCUUAACUUGGGUGGUGCAUCUAAUACUGGAGGGCUAGAGUGCAGGAGAGGGAAGCGGAAUUCCUAGUGUAGCGGUGAAAUGCGUAGAUAUUAGGAGGAACACCAGUGGCGAAGGCGGCUUUCUGGACUGUAACUGACACUGAGGCACGAAAGCGUGGGGAGCAAACAGG
rnacentral:rRNA from 1 species